GNGNGCNGGAAGAAUGCCCUNUGGGUUGUAANCUGCUUUUAUNCANGANGNAACGNUUGCUUNCGNAGCGAUUCUGACGGUAUUGUAUGAAUAAGCACCGGCUAACUCCGUGCCAGGAGCCGACGGUAAUACGGAGGGUGCAAGCGUUAUCCGGAUUUACUGGGUUUAAAGGGUACGUGGGCGGAUUUGUAAGUCAGUGGUGAAAGCCUGCAGCUCAUCUGUGGAAUUGCCAUUGAAACUGUGAAUCUAGAGUAUAGAGGAAGUAAGCGGAAUAAGUCAUGUAGCGGUGAAAUGCAUAGAUAUGACUUAGGACACCGAAAGCGAAGGCACCUUACUGUUCUAUACCUGACGCUGAGGUACAAAAGCGUGGGUAGCGAACAGGAUUAGAUACCCUGGUAGUCCACGCUGUAAACGAUGAAUACUCGUUGUUGGGUGCAAACUCAGCGACCAAGCGAAAGCGUUAAGUAUUCCAACUGGUGAGUACGGUCGC
rnacentral:rRNA from 1 species